rnacentral:rRNA from 1 species
GAUGAGUGGCGAACGGGUGAGUAAUACAUAGGUAACCUGCCCCUGUGCGGGGGAUAACAGGAGGAAACUCCUGCUAAUACCGCAUAGCCAUGAGCACCGCAUGGAGCUCAUGCCAAAUAUCCUUUCGGGGAUAGCGCAGGGAUGGACCUAUGGCGCAUUAGCUUGUUGGCGGGGCAACGGCCCACCAAGGCAACGAUGCGUAGCCGGCCUGAGAGGGCGGACGGCCACAUUGGGACUGAGACACGGCCCAGACUCCUACGGGAGGCAGCAGUAGGGAAUUUUCGGCAAUGGGGGAAACCCUGACCGAGCAACGCCGCGUGAGCGAAGAAGGCCUUCGGGUCGUAAAGCUCUGUUGUAAAGGAAGAACGGCGCAUACAGGAAAUGGUAUGCGAGUGACGGUACUUUACCAGAAAGCCACGGCUAACUACGUGCCAGCAGCCGCGGUAAUACGUAGGUGGCGAGCGUUAUCCGGAAUCAUUGGGCGUAAAGAGGGAGCAGGCGGCCGCAAGGGUCUGUGGUGAAAGACCGAAGCUAAACUUCGGUAAGCCAUGGAAACCGGGCGGCUAGAGUGCGGAAGAGGAUCGUGGAAUUCCAUGUGUAGCGGUGAAAUGCGUAGAUAUAUGGAGGAACACCAGUGGCGAAGGCGACGGUCUGGGCCGCAACUGACGCUCAUUCCCGAAAGCGUGGGGAGCAAAUAGGAUUAGAUACCCUAGUAGUCCACGCCGUAAACGAUGGUCACUAAGUGUCGGGGGUCAAACCCCGGUGCUGCAGUCAACGCAAUAAGUGACCCGCCU